GAGAUAUUUUCCAGCUGGUUUUGAGGAAGUGAGCUGCCAUGUACUAGGCCACGUGGCAAGGGCCUGGUUGGGGACCUCCAGGGGUUGAGAGCAUCCUCUGGACAACAUGGAAAAAGAAAAUGAAAAUGGUGACCUCAGCCCUAUAGCUAGAAGGAAUUGAAUCCUGUCAACAACGAUACUCAUCACUCACUGCAGAUGUUACUUUAAGACAUUCUGGAGCAGCGUCAUGUGCAGGAGAAAAUAGUAUCAUCUCAGCCUUCUAUGAAAUCAAGGCAAUAUUCAUGUGAAAGUAUAUUCCAAACCCAGAACCUGAGCACAGAUUGGGACUGAGAAACACUUGUCUAGAUUGUCAGGCAAUCUGUAACAUCAGCAGUGGAUGGAAAGAAGGAGAAAGAUGAGUUUUAUGGACGCUAACCCAUCUAUAUGGCUUUGGAAAAUAAAGUACUGCUGUUUUUUUUUGUAAA
rnacentral:lncRNA from 1 species